CCGCAGCAGCCGCGGUAAUUCCUACGGGAGGCAGCAGUGGGGAAUUUUGGGCAAUGGGCGCAAGCCUGAUCCAGCAAUGCCGCGUGAGUGAAGAAGGCCUUCGGGUUGUAAAGCUCUUUCAGUCGAGAAGAAAAGGCUGCAGUGAAUAACUGUAGUUUAUGACGGUAUCGACAGAAGAAGCACCGGCUAACUACGUGCCAGCAGCCGCGGUAAU
rnacentral:rRNA from 1 species